rnacentral:rRNA from 1 species
AGUGAACGCUGGCGGUAGGCCUAACACAUGCAAGUCGAACGGCAGCACAGUAAGAGCUUGCUCUUACGGGUGGCGAGUGGCGGACGGGUGAGGAAUACAUCGGAAUCUACUUUUUCGUGGGGGAUAACGUAGGGAAACUUACGCUAAUACCGCAUACGACCUACGGGUGAAAGCAGGGGAUCUUCGGACCUUGCGCGAUUGAAUGAGCCGAUAUCGGAUUAGCUAGUUGGCGGGGUAAAGGCCCACCAAGGCGACGAUCCGUAGCUGGUCUGAGAGGAUGAUCAGCCACACUGGAACUGAGACACGGUCCAGACUCCUACGGGAGGCAGCAGUGGGGAAUAUUGGACAAUGGGCGCAAGCCUGAUCCAGCCAUACCGCGUGGGUAAAGAAGGCCUUCGGGUUGUAAAGCCCUUUUGUUGGGAAAGAAAAGCAGCAGGUUAAUACCCCGCUGUUCUGACGGUACCCAAAGAAUAAGCACCGGCUAACUUCGUG